UGUGGAUAAAGUUGUUUUCAUUUUUUUCUUUUACAAAUAAUAAUGUGAUGAAGAUCUUUGUAGGUUAUCAAGACUUCAUAUAAUUUUUUGAAAGAUCCUAGAAAAAGAUGGAUCAAGUUCAAAAGUAUUUUUAAAGUUAUUUACAUAUUUUGUCAAAUUAUUCUCCAGAGAAGUUGUACUACUUUUCCCUCCCUUGUACACAAGACUGUGCAAGAGCCAUCAACGCUUCUCGACCUAAAUAUUAACAUUAAAGAUAUUUUGGACCAAUUUAAUGGUGAAUGUUAUCUUAUUUUAAUAGUACCAAAGGAUAAGUACAAGAUUCUGCAUUGUGGGGAGAUUGCGAGACAAAUGAACUUUUAAAAGAUAUUUGGGAACAGACGAAAUGGCCUGCUCUGCUGAGAAACUGAAAGGGCUUGAGACCCAGAGUGAAGCGAAAGGAAAAUAAAAUAGCACUUUGGGAUGGAAAGGGGACGCCAGCACACCCCAGGUCUGUACCCCUGGCCUCGCAGUCUUCGGGGUCCCUGACAGGCAGUAGGGCUCAAAAGGAAGCCAAGUGCAGCUGCAGGGGGCUUCUCUCCGAGGGUCGCCCCGCAGUCUCUGGGUUAUGAUCCCCACGCGAGUACCUGGGAGUUCCCAGCCAUUCGGCCCCUACAGAAGGACCAGGCAGAGGAAUUUCUGAUUCAUGUGUUUUUCCGUGGGAUGCCAGAAAGGGAGUUUUGAGAGCUCCUACACCAGCUUAGCUUGGGAGCCCCUACGCAACAACCAUCCAGGUCCCGGAAGAUGCCAGCUCUGCCUGGCGCCCGCAGCCCAGAUCUCCUGCCCGGAGUACGGGGGCGCGGGCGCAGCCACCAAAGCUGAAAUGUGACCGCGUCCCGGUCCCUUCCUGCUCUGGGGCGCGAAGCUGCCAAGAAACCGGCUGCGGUCUCCAGGAGGGGCCAGGAGGCAAAAUGGAAGGAAGCGCUGGAUCUCCGCGGCGGAAGUCAUUCUUAUGCCCUGCCAAAGGGUAGAGGGCAGCAACCGACUUGUGCGAAAGGAGGGAACGUGUGGGUCUGCCAGGGUCCUGCAGGGGGGAUGAGACCCUCGCUCCGCUCCGGCGAUCCCUUCGCUCUCCACCCUCGGCCAGCCCCUCCUGUCCUCCAUCAGGCCUCGCUGAGGAUACCUCCUGGGUUCCAAAGCGCGAGUUGAACCUGAGCUUGACAUUCAUUCCGUCUCGUACAAAAGCCAUGCCUGCGGGGAGAGGGAGAAAAUUUCCUACAGGAGCCUCAAGACUGCGUUUCAGGAAGCCCUAGGACCCACUGAUCCUGCAGCUGCGCCUCUCACUCGCCUCAGGUCCUGAGCUGGAACGAUGGAAUCUAGCAGAAGUUGCCUUUCCAGAUUCAAACGGCUUCUAUGGUGGAUUCACACAAAAGAAAUUAGUAGAAGAAAGAAUUUUGCUAAAUUUCUUUUCAGAAAGACUUUACUCAUUUAUCAGCAAUAAAUAGUAUCUGUUAUGAGUUAAAUUGUGUCUCCAAAAAGAUAUGCUGGGGUAAUAGCCACUGGGAACUUUGAAUGUAAUCUUAUUUGGAAAUAGGGUCUUUGCUAAUAUUAUCAAAUUAAGAUGAAGUCAUAUCAAAUUAAGUAUGACUGUCCUUAUAAGAGGAGAAGAGACACAGACACAGAGGAAAGACUGCCAUAUGAAGAUGGGGCAAGGAUUGGAGUUACAUUGCUACAAGCCAAGGAAUGCCUGGCACUACCAGAAGCUGGAGGAGACAAGGGAGGAUUAAUGUCCUUUAGGAGCUUCAAAGGAAAUAUGUCCCUCUCAACAACUUGACUUCUAAUGUUGUGAUGGUUAAUACUGAGUGUCAACUUGAUUGGGUUGAAGGAUACAAAGUAUUGAUCCUGGGUGUGUCUGUGCCAAAGGAGAUUAACAUUUGAGUCAGUGGGAUGGAAAGGCAGACGCACCCUUAAUCUGGGUGGGCAAAAUCUAAGCUGCUAGCAUGACUAGAAUAUAAGCAGGCAGAAAAAUGUGAAAAAGAGAGACUGGCCUAGACUCCCAGCCUACGUCUUUAUCCUGUGCUAGAUGCAUCCUGUCCUUGAACAUCAGACUCUUAAGUCCUUCAAUUUUGGAACUCACACUGGCUCUCCUUGCUCCUCAGCCUGCAGACAGCCUAUUGUGGGACCUUGUGAUCAUGUGAGUUAAUACUUAAUGAACUUAAUAAUAAAUUAAUAUUUAUAUAUUAAUACAUAAUGGAAUAUAUAUUCCAUUAGUUCUAUCCCUCUACAGAAUCCUAUUAGAAUGUCAAACUCUUAAAAACAUUGUUUUUUUUUUUUUUUUUUAGAGACGGUCUUGUUCUGUCACCCAGGUUUGAAUGCAGUGGCAUGAUCAUAACUAAAUGCAACCUCAAACUCCCCAGCUCAAGAGAUCCUUCCACUUCAGCCUCCCGAGUAGCUAGGACUACAGUCAUGCGCCACCACAGCCAGCUAAAUUUAUUUUUUUGUAAAGACAGUCUUUCAAUGUUGCCCAGACUGGUCUCAAACUCUUUGUCCCAAGUGACUCUCCUGCCUCGACCUCCCAAAGUGUUGGGAUUACAGGCGUGAGCCACCAUGUUAAAUGAGAAAAUAAAUUUACGCAGUUUUAAGCCAUCCAGCUUGUGAUACGUUGUUAUGGGAGCCCUAGGAAAUUAAUACACCAUUAUUUUCAAAGUGCUGCUAAUUUAUAAGACAACAUUGGUUUUUAAUUGUUCUGAUUUUCAAAAAUAUCUGCUGACUUAAAAUAUGAAGAUUGUAUUCAAGUGUUCUGAUUUUCAUUGAAGUUAAAAAUUUGUCUUAAAUACUAGACAUUUACUUCUAUCAAUUUUCUCACAAUGUUUUUAUACCUUUUUCUCAGUUAUUGUAACAUUAGUGUUCUUUUUAAUCAAUAUAUUAUGAAUGUCACUUUUUAUCCAUCACAUUAAUUACAAAUGUUUUUCUCUAGUUUUUGGUUUCCUAUAACUUACUUCCUAAAUAUAUAAAAUAAACAGAAAUAAUUUUAUGUGUGUAGAAUAUUUUUACUUAAGAAGAAUAGAUUGUCAAAUUA
rnacentral:lncRNA from 10 species